rnacentral:rRNA from 1 species
AGCGAACGCUGGCGGCAGGCUUAACACAUGCAAGUCGAGCGGGCGUAGCAAUACGUCAGCGGCAGACGGGUGAGUAACGCGUGGGAACAUACCUUUUGGUUCGGAACAACACAGGGAAACUUGUGCUAAUACCGGAUAAGCCCUUACGGGGAAAGAUUUAUCGCCGAAAGAUUGGCCCGCGUCUGAUUAGCUAGUUGGUGAGGUAACGGCUCACCAAGGCGACGAUCAGUAGCUGGCUGAGAGGAUGAUCAGCCACACUGGGACUGAGACACGGCCCAGACUCCUACGGGAGGCAGCAGUGGGAAUAUUGGACAAUGGGCGCAAGCCUGAUCCAGCAAUGCCGCGUGGAUGAAGAAGGUUUUCGGAUUGUAAAGUCCUUUCGGCGGGGACGAUGAUGACGGUA